GAGUUUGAUCCUGGCUCAGAUUGAACGCUGGCGGCAGGCCUUACACAUGCAAGUCGAACGGCAGCACGGGAGCUUGCUCCUGGUGGCGAGUGGCGAACGGGUGAGUAAUGCAUCGGAACGUAUCCUGGAGUGGGGGAUAACGUAGCGAAAGUUACGCUAAUACCGCAUAUUCUGUGAGCAGGAAAGCGGGGGACCUUCGGGCCUCGCGCUCUUGGAGCGGCCGAUGUCGGAUUAGCUAGUUGGUGAGGUAAAGGCUCACCAAGGCGACGAUCCGUAGCAGGUCUGAGAGGAUGAUCUGCCACACUGGAACUGAGACACGGUCCAGACUCCUACGGGAGGCAGCAGUGGGGAAUUUUGGACAAUGGGGGCAACCCUGAUCCAGCCAUGCCGCGUGAGUGAAGAAGGCCUCGGUUGUAAGUACUCUUCGUCGAGAGAAGAAA
rnacentral:rRNA from 1 species